rnacentral:rRNA from 1 species
GACGAACCGUGCGAACGUUAUUCGGAAUCACUGGGCUUAAAGCGCGUGUAGGCGGGUGGGAACGUCGGCCGCUGAAAUCCCCCGGCUCAACCGGGGAAGGGGCGCCGAAACGGCCCGCCUGGAGGGACGUAGGGGGAGCUGGAACUUCCGGUGGAGCGGUGAAAUGCGUUGAGAUCGGAAGGAACGCCCGUGGCGAAAGCGAGCUCCUGGACGUUUUUCUGACGCUGAGACGCGAAAGCCAGGGGAGCGAACGGG